CUGGAAGUGGAAGCUCCAAAGCAAAGCAAGAAAGGAUCGCCUUGGUGUGUUUUUCCGCCCCGGAAACUUUCUGGAACUGUUACCUGGUAGAAGGAAACAUCUUCUGUUAUUUCCAGCUGGUCAUGGAAAAAGUUUCUCAGCAAAGACAGUGAAAAUGGACCCUUUUAAGAGCUCUAGAACUAGAUGUCAACAGAAUGCUAGAAGAUGGGACAUGAGGAAUAAUCCUGUAUUGACAGAGAACAUGAUUGACAGAUAGUUCUUUUCCAUCUCUACUAUCCAUGGCAAUGCAAUCAUCAGUCAUUUUCACAACUUUGUGCUGGGUGUUGCUUUCAGUCAUAUAUUGAAAUCCAGGGUUGCUUCUGUUCAUGGCAGAGAACACCAAGGUGGUAACUGAAAGUAGAAACAGCUCCUGUGAAUAGUGGGAUGUUAUGGCUGCCAGUAAACUCUAAGCCUUUGAAUUCUUUUUUGCUCUUUUUCCUUCUAUCAGUUGCUGGUGAGCAUUUUGUCAUUUUACUUCUCUUGCAAAGCACAAAAAUGGCUUUUCCUUCAAGAAAAAUAGAUGUUUAUUAGCUUUUAUAUGACACACAGUGCAUUGGUGAAAAGUUAAUUUGUAUUUUACUUUUUAGUUUGUGUUCUUCCUUCAAUAUUUUUUCUGUAUUGGUUGGUUUCCCUGUUGUGUGUAUAAACACUGAGAUCACUUGAGUACUAAACAGCGCACAGCCAAGCAAUAAAGUUGCUUUUCAAUUUGGA